AUUUUUAGUUUUAUUUUAUUUGAAGUUUGAUGGAAUUUUCUUUUUUUUUUUUUUUUGACUUGUGACUUCUCAUUGCCAAUUGGUUACGGGUUGUGACUAACUUCUUUGCCAAAAAUACCCAUGUGGAUGUUCUCAAACCUUAGGUGAGGAAAUGCAGCUGAUGUGUUCACAUCCAAAUAUGAAUACUUUGGCGGUUUUGAAAUGGACGAUCUACAUCAGUACACUUUA
rnacentral:misc_RNA from 1 species